rnacentral:lncRNA from 11 species
UCUUCAUUCUCGAUUGUUGUUGAAUCAUAAUAUGUGAAAGAGAAAUGCAAAACCAAACAGAAAAGGACUGUACCAUUUGCGUGCCGUCUUGUACUGAGAUUUGACAACUGA